rnacentral:rRNA from 1 species
GAUCAUGGCUCGAGGACGAACGCUGGCGGCGUGCCUAACACAUGCAAGUCGAGCGAGGAGAUUCCUUCGGGAUGAUCCUAGCGGCGGACGGGUGAGUAACACGUGGGCAACCUGCCUCAUAGAGAGGAAUAGCCUUCCGAAAGGGAGAUUAAUACCUCAUAACAUUGCAGUUUCGCAUGGAACAGCAAUUAAAGGAGUAAUCCGCUAUGAGAUGGGCCCGCGGCGCAUUAGCUAGUUGGUGAGGUAACGGCUCACCAAGGCGACGAUGCGUAGCCGACCUGAGAGGGUGAUCGGCCACAUUGGGACUGAGACACGGCCCAGACUCCUACGGGAGGCAGCAGUGGGGAAUAUUGCACAAUGGGGGAAACCCUGAUGCCAGCAACGCCGCGUGAGUGAUGACGGCCUUCGGGUUGUAAAGCUCUGUCUUCAGGGACGAUAAUGACGGUACCUGAGGAGGAAGCCACGGCUAACUACGUGCCAGCCGCCGC